UACGAAGGGGGCUAGCGUUGCUCGGAAUCACUGGGCGUAAAGCGCACGUAGGCGGCUUCUUAAGUCAGGGGUGAAAUCCUGGAGCUCAACUCCAGAACUGCCUUUGAUACUGAGGAGCUCGAGUCCGGGAGAGGUGAGUGGAACUCCGAGUGUAGAGGUGAAAUUCGUAGAUAUUCGGAAGAACACCAGUGGCGAAGGCGGCUCACUGGCCCGGUACUGACGCUGAGGUGCGAAAGCGUGGGGAGCAACA
rnacentral:rRNA from 1 species